rnacentral:rRNA from 1 species
CAGUCGCCACGGGAAAACGUAGGGCGCAAGCGUUAUCCGGAAUUAUUGGGCGUAAAGAGCUCGUAGGCGGUUUGUCGCGUCUGCCGUGAAAGUCCGGGGCUCAACCCCGGAUCUGCGGUGGGUACGGGCAGACUAGAGUGAUGUAGGGGAGACUGGAAUUCCUGGUGUAGCGGUGAAAUGCGCAGAUAUCAGGAGGAACACCGAUGGCGAAGGCAGGUCUCUGGGCAUUAACUGACGCUGAGGAGCGAAAGCAUGGGGAGCGAACAGGAUUAGAUACCCGAGUAGUCCCUGUCUCUUAUAC